rnacentral:rRNA from 1 species
GAUAAUGGCUCAGGAUGAACGCUAGCUACAGGCUUAACACAUGCAAGUCGAGGGGCAGCGGGAUUGAAGCUUGCUUCAAUUGCCGGCGACCGGCGCACGGGUGAGUAACGUGUAUCCAACCUUCCGUACACUCAGGGAUAGCCUUUCGAAAGAAAGAUUAAUACCUGAUGGUAUCUUAAGCACACAUGUAAUUAAGAUUUAAAGAUUUAUCGGUGUACGAUGGGAUGCGUUCCAUUAGGUAGUAGGG